rnacentral:miRNA from 1 species
UCUUCCCUACACCUCCCAUAC